GACGAACGCUGGCGGCGUGCUUAACACAUGCAAGUCGAACGGAAAGGCCCUGCUUUUGUGGUGUGCUCGAGUGGCGAACGGGUGAGUAACACGUGAGUAACCUGCCCUUGACUUUGGGAUAACUUCAGGAAACUGGGGCUAAUACCGGAUAGGAUCUCCUGUUGCAUGGUGGGGGGUGGAAAGUUUCGGCGGUUGGGGAUGGACUCGCGGCUUAUGUGCUUGUUGGUGGGGUAGUGGCUUCGCAAGGCCUUGACGGGUAGCCGGCCUGGGAGGGGGACUGGGCACAUUGGGACUGAGGUACGGCCCAGACGGCAACGUGAGGCAGCGGUGGGAAAUAUUGCACAAUGGGCGGCAGCCUGAUGCAACGACGCCGGGUGCGGAAUGACGGCCUUCGGGGAAUAAACCGCUUUAGCCUGUGACGAAGCGUGUGUGACGGUAACGGAUAAAGAAGCACCGGCUAACUACGUG
rnacentral:rRNA from 1 species